GACCGGUUGGACUCUCACAACUUUGGUUUUCACAAACGAAAUGAAACAUAGCCUUGCCGUUACAGAACAGUAAGGGGCAAUUGAAAGUUGGAAUUUGAAAUAGGGUAGUAGUGACUGCAGUGUGGCUGGCAGCACAAAAACGAUGAGGAGUUUUCCAGCGCCUCCGCCUUCAACCAAACCAAACACCACCAACUCCUCGAAACCCAGCAACAACCCAAAGCCCUCUUUUGUUCCCGCAAAGGAUGACACAAAGCCUGUGCUUCAAGAUCCGAUACUGAGAUCAGAUCCUAUUGAGACAGAGGAAGCUGUGCUGCCAAUACCUCCCUUCUCAAUCCCCAAAUCAACUUCUCCAGCGUAAAUGGCCUAAGCGUUUUCAAAAAGUAUAGAAAAAACAAAAAUUGUGUUUCUAUACAAUGCAUCUAACUUAAUUUCAGCUAUUGUUGUCAAUAUUGUGGUUGUUGCUUCUUAAAUGUGCUUGUCAAUUGGGCCCAAUUGCGUUUGCGUUGAAUCUUGAAGAAAUGAGAGGAUUUAUUAGAUGGAUUUACAUUCAGUUUGCUUAUUAAGCCUCUUACCAUUUAUUUCUGGGUUAGUUAGCACUUAGCACUAGCUUGUUUGUUAUACACGGUUAUGGUAAGCUCAUUGGAUCAAUGUUGAGGUGUCGUCAACUCGUCAUACCAAAUUUCAAUGGCAACAAUGUGAUUCAUUCUAUUUCGAAAUUUCUUGGGUGAAAAAAUGAAGUUGAAUAGACCAACCUGGGUUAGUUGAGUGGUCAGUUCAUUCGUCCGCUUAAGCAACUGUCGGAGUUCGAAUCCCACGACGGAUUAGUCCUUAACCUGUCGGGUUGAAAGAUACCGUGGGAAACAAAAAAAAAAAUUAAAGUUGAAUGAAGAGUACAAUUAUGUCUUUAUCUUUUUAUAUUUUCUCUAUUGUAAGAUACAAUUUUCAUUUUUCACUCAAUGUCACUUUUAGCUGUAGCCUUAUGAAGCACGAUCCUUUCUCCUCCAUCAGUUCAGGUGUGGAAACUUCAUAUUUAAAGUAAAUAUCAACUACUCCAUCAUUCAUCUCUGCAUAAAAUCACAUCUCCUUUAGUUCAUCAUCACUGGUCAGAGCUCUCAGUCCCACCUCCAAGCUCAUGCUGGGAACCAAACUACCAACACUCAACUACCUUGUCAUACCCCAACUCCUUGAAAUAAUUUCUCACAAAAAAAAACAUCAAGGGUAUCUUCAUCUAAAUCUUCUAAGCAACUUCGGCUGUCAGGGGACUUCACGAGGAAGCUUUGCUCUUUUCUUCUCCGAUUUUGAACGACCGAUGAGCAGCUUUCGACCCUCUCCAAUUUGCAUCACCACAAAAAACUUCAGUAGGACAAGCGAACCCCAGGGUAUGGGGUUUUCAGUUUGAACGAGAUGAAGAAGAUGAAGUGGUGAAGUGAACUCUUUGAAUAUGGGGGUUGUCUUUUGGUAACUCCCUUCUUCAAGCGGCGUCGUUUUCAUUUUUUAACGCCAAAUCCUAAUAUGACGCCGUUCUCCAUACUCCAGCAUGGCAAAAAAAAAUUGCCACAUCACUGCCGCUGGGAACGAGUUUCGACGGAAAAGGGAGAAGGGACUAACUAGGUGCAUUUUUUUCGAAGUCCAGGAUAUAAAUAGUGCAAUUGGGAAGUUAGAGAUCAAAUCGGUGCAUUUUGUGAAUCUUAGGAACUACUUUGGUGUUUAACUCUUUCUUGAUUUGUGGCAUCUAUGUA